GCCUGAAAUAUUGACUUCCCUGCUCCUCGGAUGCUGUCUGACCUGCUGUGCUUUUCCAGCCUCACCUUUUGACUCUGGCUCCUAGCAUCUGUGGUCCUUUCUGUCUCCAAUGUGGUAAAAACUGCCUGGGAAAGGAGAGAAGCUGGGGAGAAAGUAAACCCAUCCACUCGGGAGAAAGUAUGCAAACUACCAUGGACUCAAGCUGGGAUUGUGGAGCUAGAUGUCUGGCAUGUUGAGAGUGUCUGAGGUGCAGGUCCCAAAAGACUCGGAGGGCCAUGUAAUGCAGAGUGCAGCAAACCAUCACAAGGACUGAGAUUUUCGGCUUCUUUGCUGUCCAACGUCUCCCCAGGUGGUGGCACAACAGUAUAGUCCAGUUAUGAGGCAGCCCAGGACCAGCAAACAAGUGAAGCGACUCUCGUUAUUGGGGGAACAGAAGUUAAUGGAAUUUAAACUCUGGCAAACUUCUUUCUUGAAAGACUGCAAGCAAACAUCAGAGCUCCUGGUUACAUCAGCAUGUGGGAAAACGUUCCUCCAGCAGUAAUUGAG